UUAUUUUUGGAGAAAUAUCUUUGUUUUUAGUAUACAUAUAGAAAAAAUUUUAUUAGUAAUAUUAAUCUUUACUGUGAAGGUUCUUUGAAAUAUUUUGAAAAUUUAUUUUAUUAAAAGUAUAUUUUAUUUGUAGUACCUUUUGUAUCAGGGUUGAUCUAUUAAAGAUAAUUUAUUUAUUAUAUUCCCGAUUAUGGAAGAGCUAAUAAGUUAUAUUGCUUGUUGUUGCAUAAACAUUAAUAAUUUCUUAUUAGAGGAGAAAUUCUAUUCGUUUUUAUAGGUAUCUGGUUUUUUAAGAAAUAAAUUCAAUUUAGGCAUUUUUAUUUAAUCAUUUUAUUUAAUAAAUUAUUAUUAUAAAAUGCUAAUUUAGCAGGGGAUGAGCUCUGCUAAAUAUCUAUAACUCCAAUUUUAUUUAAUUGUAGUAGGGUUAAAAUCAUCCAUCUUAGAAUUACGUUAUAGUAUAUAUUAAUAUAUUAUUGAUUUAUUUUUGUUUAGAUUUUUAUUAAAAUUUAAUGAUAAACUAUUAAUCAUUAGUAAUAAUGAUUAAAUUAGUAUAGUUUUAUGUUUUACAUUUAUUAGGUGAUACUAUCAAGUAAGGAAUUCGGCAAACAAGCACUCGCCUGUUUAUCAAAAACAUGUCUUCUUGUUAUUUAUAGGAAGUCUGACCUGCCCAGUGAAUAAUUUUUAACGGCCGCGGUAUUUUGACCGUGCAAAGGUAGCAUAAUCAUUAGUCUUUUAAUAGAAGGCUGGCAUGAAUGGUUUGACGAGGUGCUGACUGUCUCACUUGAUUUUUUAUUAUAAUUUAACUUUUUAGUCAAAAGGCUAAAAUAUAUUUGGAAGACGAGAAGACCCUAUAGAGCUUUAUAAUAUUUUGAUUAAUCAUAUUUAGUUUAAUUUUUUUGGUUAUUUAUCUUAUUAUUUUGUUGGGGUGACAAAAAUAUAUAAUUAACUUUUUUAUUUAUUUUACAUUAAUUUAUGAACAACCGGAUCCAUUCUUAGUGAUUAUUAGACUAAGUUACCUUAGGGAUAACAGCGUAAUCUUCUUUCAGGGUUCAAAUUUACAAGAAGGCUUGCGACCUCGAUGUUGGAUUAAGAUUAUAAUUAGGUGCAGCCGCUUAAUUUAUAGGUCUGUUCGACCUUUAAUUUCUUACAUGAUCUGAGUUCAAACCGGUUUAAGCCAGGUUGGUUUCUAUCUCCGAUUUAUUUUUAACCUUUAGUACGAAAGGACCAGGGUUAGAAAAUAUUUCUUUGUUUUAUGAAUAUUAAUACUAUUUUGGCAGAAAAGUGCCAUGGAUUUA
rnacentral:rRNA from 1 species